AGGCGGUUAGCUCAACUGGCAGAGCGGGCGGCUUACAUCCGCCUGGCUGCGGGUUCAAGUCCUGCACCGCCUACCA
rnacentral:tRNA from 1 species